rnacentral:tRNA from 1 species
AUUUUCUUAGUAUAAUUAGUACUAGUGACUUCCAAUCACUAAGCCUUGGUUAAACCCCGAGAGAAAAUA